rnacentral:rRNA from 1 species
UACAGAGGCGGCAAGCGUUGUUCGGAAUUACUGGGCGUAAAGGGCGCGUAGGCGGUCUUGUCAGUCCCGUUGUGAAAUCCCCCGGCGUCAACUGGGGAACUGCACGGGAAACAGCAGGGCUUGAGUUCGGGAGAGGGAAGCGGAAUUCCGGGUGUAGCGGUGAAAUGCGUAGAUAUCCGGAGGAACACCGGUGGCGAAGGCGGGUCUCUGGGCAACAACUGACGCUGAGGAGCGAAAGCGUGGGGAGCGAACAGG